GUGUCAGCAGCCGCGGUAAUACGUAGGGUGCUAGCGUUGUCCGGAUUCACUGGGUGUAAAGGGAGCGCAGGCGGGUCUUCAAGUCGUUGGUGAAAUUCUCAGGCUCAACCUGGGGACUGCCAAUGAUACUGGAGAUCUUGAGUGCAGAAGAGGAAGACGGAAUUCCUGGUGUAGCGGUGAAAUGCGUAGAUAUCAGGAAGAACACCGGUGGCGAAGGCGGUCUUCUGGUCUGUAACUGACGCUCAUGCUCGAAAGCGUGGGGAGCAAACAGGAUUAGAAACCCCUGUAGUCC
rnacentral:rRNA from 1 species